rnacentral:rRNA from 1 species
UACGGGGGGGGCAAGCGUUGUUCGGAAUUACUGGGCGUAAAGGGCUCGUAGGUGGCCAACUAAGUCAGACGUGAAAUCCCUCGGCUUAACCGGGGAACUGCGUCUGAUACUGGAUGGCUUGAGUGUGGGAGAGGGAUGCGGAAUUCCAGGUGUAGCGGUGAAAUGCGUAGAUAUCUGGAGGAACACCGGUGGCGAAGGCGGCAUCCUGGACCACGACUGGCGCUGAGUGAGCGAAAGCCAGGGGAGCAAACGGG